UACGUAGGUGGCGAGCGUUAUCCGGAUUUACUGGGCGUAAAGGGUGUGCAGGCGGGCUGUUAAGUGGUGUAUGAAAUCGCCGGGCUCAACCGGGCGAGGUUAUGCCAGACUGGCAGUCUAGAGAGCGAGAGAGGGACGUGGAAUUCCGGGUGUAGUGGUGAAAUGCGUAGAGAUCCGGAGGAACCCCAGAGGCGAAGGCGGCGUCCUGGCUCGCAUCUGACGCUCAGACACGACAGCAUGGGGAGCGAACGGG
rnacentral:rRNA from 1 species